UGCGUAGGCGGCUUUGUAGGUCAGAUGUGAAAGCCCACGGCUCAACCGUGGAAUUGCGUUUGAAACCACAAGGCUUGAGGGGGUCAGAGGAGAGCGGAACUGAUGGUGGAGCGGUGAAAUGCGUUGAUAUCAUCAGGAACACCGGUGGCGGAAGCGGCUCUCUGGGACCUUUCUGACGCUGAGGCACGAAAGCUAGGGGAGCGAACG
rnacentral:rRNA from 1 species